UUCUGUAAGGCUUUUGGCACAGUCCCACAUGACACCCUGAUUUCUAAAAUGGAGAGAUAUGGAUUUGAAGGGUGGACCAUUUGGUGGAUAAAGAAUUGGCUUGAUGGAUGCACCCAGAUAGUAGUGGUCAAUGGCUCCAUGUCCAGAUGGAGGCCAGUGAUGAGUGGUGACUCUCAGGGGUCUGUGUUGGUACUGGUGCUUUUCAAUAGCUUCAUCAAUGACAUAUAUGAUGGGACUGAGUGCACCCUCAGCAAGUUUUCAGAUGACACCAAGCUGAGUGGUGCAGUUGAUACUAAAGAAGGAAGGAAUGCCAUCCAAAGGGACCUGGACAGGCUGGAGAAGCAGGCCCAUGCGAACCUAAUGAGGUUCAACAAGUCCAAGUGCAAGGUUCUGCACCUGGGUCAGAGCAAUCCCAGGCAUGAGUACAUUGAGAGCAGCCCUGUGGAGUUGGAUUUGAGGGUGCUGGUGGAUAAGACACUCGACAUGAGCCAGCAGUGUGCGCUUGCAGCCCAGAAGGCCAACUGCAUCCUGGGCUGCAUCAAUAGAGGAGUGGCCAGCAAGUCAAGGGAGGCGAUUGUCCCCCUCUACUCUGCCCUCAUGAGUCCCCACUUGGAGUACUGUGUCCAGAUCUGGAGCCCCCAACACAAGAAAGAUGUGGACCUGUUAGAAUGGGUCCAGAAGAGUGCCACAAAGAUGAUCAGAGGGCUGGAGCACCUCUCCUAUGAAGAAAGGCUGAGAGAGCUGGGGAUGUUCAGCCUGGAGAAGAGAAGGCUCCAUGGGGACCUCAUUGUGGCCUUUCAGUACUUAAAGGGUUCUUAUAAAAAGGAUGGAGAGGGACUCUUUACUCGUGUAGAUAAUGAUAGGACAAGGGGGAAUGGUUUGUGUGACACCCUGUGGCAAGCAGCAUCAUCACAACAAUGAGAGUGUCUUUGGGCAAAAAGGGAUAGAGAAAAGUGUCCUGCAAGCUGGAUGUGUGCUAUGAGCUGCCAGCUGGACCCUCUUCUCUAAAACAGUGGAUUUAAAAUAGUUUGUAUAUUU
rnacentral:lncRNA from 1 species